rnacentral:rRNA from 1 species
CUACGGGUGGCUGCAGUAGGGAAUAUUGCACAAUGGGCGAAAGCCUGAUGCAGCAACGCCGCGUGCGCGAUGAAGGCCUUCGGGUUGUAAAGCGCUUUUCUGAGGGAAGAGGAAGGACUGUACCUCAGGAAUAAGUCUCGGCUAACUACGUGCCAGCAGCCGCGGUAACACGUAGGAGGCAAGCGUUAUCCGGAUUUACUGGGCGUAAAGCGCGUGUAGGCGGUUUGGCAAGUCGGAUGUGAAAGCUCCUGGCUCAACUGGGAGAGGUCGUUCGAAACUGCCAGACUAGAGGACGGUAGGGAAGAUGGAAUUCCCGGUGUAGUAGUGACAUGCGUAGAUAUCGGGAGGAACACCAGUGGCGAAGGCGGUCUUCUGGGCCGUUCCUGACGCUGAGACGCGAAAGCAUGGGUAGCGAACGGGAUUAGAUACCCGGGUAGUC